rnacentral:lncRNA from 1 species
CCAACUCCACCGUCUGCAGCCUAAGACGCAAAUAAAGAAAUGACAUUUAUUAAUGAACUGUUUGGUUGUCGAGAAAACAGAGGAAAAAACAACAAAUGUUAGGAUGAAACUAGGGCAAAUAAAUGAAAUAGAUUCACAAAUCCAAAACCGCACUGUUCGGCCGCAUAGAAAAAUGCACCAAUCCACCAAACCGCAGCUCAGCUCAACUGAGCCUAGCACAGUCACACACCCUCC